rnacentral:rRNA from 1 species
GAUGAACGCUGGCGGCGUGCUUAACACAUGCAAGUCGAACGGAAAGGCCCAAGCUUGCUUGGGUACUCGAGUGGCGAACGGGUGAGUAACACGUGGGUGAUCUGCCCUGCACUUCGGGAUAAGCCUGGGAAACUGGGUCUAAUACCGGAUAGGACCACAUUUUGGAUGGUGUGGUGGAAAGUUUUUCGGUGUGGGAUGAGCUCGCGGCCUAUCAGCUUGUUGGUGGGGUAAUGGCCUACCAAGGCGUCGACGGGUAGCCGGUCUGAGAGGGUGUACGGCCACAUUGGGACUGAGAUACGGCCCAGACUCCUACGGGAGGCAGCAGUGGGGAAUAUUGCACAAUGGGCGCAAGCCUGAUGCAGCGACGCCGCGUGGGGGAUGACGGCCUUCGGGUUGUAAACUCCUUUCGCUAGGGACGAAGCGCAAGUGACGGUACCUGGAGAAGAAGCACCGGCUAACUACGUG